CAAACGGCAGUAGAGGUCCUGGGGUGGCACUGAACGGCCAGCAUGCGGGGGCUGACGCUGAUGGACACCACUGGCAAGGAGGCCUGACCCCUCCAGCGGCGGAGGUGGUCAAUACCACACGGCCUCCCUGGGGGCACAAUGGAUGGGCAACCCACCAAGGUGCAGCCUAAAAUGGACCCUCGAAAGAGCAAGAACACACGGCAGGUGGCUGAGGGCAGCCACCCCAACAAAGUCAUGAUCCCUUGCCCAGGUUCUGCCCCUGAGCCAGUUUUCUGACCUGGAACCGUGGACUAGGGAGGUGGGAAGGACACUGCAGUGCCAUGGAAAGUAGGCACGGGAAUGACCCCCCCAACCCCUACCAAAGGGACCUCUGGCUAUGCACUGGGGGACUGAACGCUGGGAAAUGGGAUUACCAGACCGUGGGAGGCUGUUGGACACAGCGUCCAACCCGACAUUGACACUGGAGUCUCAAUAAACUUGCUCUCCGCGUCCACUUCAGGAGGACCCCCGUGCUGGAGUUUCUGACCAGAGGACGUCACUGGGUCCAAGGUGUGCUGGGCCAUUCUCGAGCAUUUGUCAGUAGCACUUGAGCGGAGAGAGCCCAGAAUCCAAUACACUCCACAGCAAGGUGGAAGUAGUUGUAGUUGUCUCCUGAGUGCCCUCUGUCUUGAUUCUUCAUAUACUUUCUGUACUUUCCAAAGUCGCCACAGCGAGCAUGCACAUACUCAGGAGUUAGCCGAGUGGGUCUUCUGCAACAGAGUGCAUUAGUCCACCCAUUCAAGGCCCCAUCACCAUAGUUAUGGGAUGGCAACACGUGCUACCAGAUCUCCCACACCUGAAUCUCAUAAACAAAUAAGCUGGACCACACAGUGUCACUCAGCCACAGUGUGACGUUUGGAUGCCGUCCCUCAAGCUGUGGAGGGCCUGGCGCGGGGGUCAUUGCUUGUUUGCUCAGAGACUGAGGACAGUAAAGAAGAUGUUACUGAGACUCAGGAGAUGGAAACAUGGAAAUGAGCACUGAUCCGCCCCCAACUGACGGUGCUAUUCUGGCUUGUGAUAUGAAUGCAAGUGAGG
rnacentral:lncRNA from 1 species